ACACGUGGUAUCCUGUCUGAAUAUGGGGGGACCAUCCUCCAAGGCUAAAUACUCCUGACUGACCGAUAGUGAACCAGUACCGUGAGGGAAAGGCGAAAAGAACCCCGGCGAGGGGAGUGAAAAAGAACCUGAAACCGUGUACGUACAAGCAGUGGGAGCACAGAGCAAUCUGUGUGACUGCGUACCUUUUGUAUAAUGGGUCAGCGACUUAUAUUCUGUAGCAAGGUUAACCGAAUAGGGGAGCCGAAGGGAAACCGAGUCUUAACCGGGCGUUAAGUUGCAGGGUAUAGACCCGAAACCCGGUGAUCUAGCCAUGGGCAGGUUGAAGGUUGGGUAACACUAACUGGAGGACCGAACCGACUAAUGUUGAAAAAUUAGCGGAUGACUUGUGGCUGGGGGUGAAAGGCCAAUCAAACCGGGAGAUAGCUGGUUCUCCCCGAAAGCUAUUUAGGUAGCGCCUCGUGAAUUCAUCUCCGGGGGUAGAGCACUGUUUCGGCAAGGGGGUCAUCCCGACUUACCAACCCGAUGCAAACUGCGAAUACCGGAGAAUGUUAUCACGGGAGACACACGGCGGGUGCUAACGUCCGUCGUGAAGAGGGAAACAACCCAGACCGCCAGCUAAGGUCCCAAAGUCAUGGUUAAGUGGGAAACGAUGUGGGAAGGCCCAGACAGCCAGGAUGUUGGCUUAGAAGCAGCCAUCAUUUAAAGAAAGCGUAAUAGCUCACUGGUCGAGUCGGCCUGCGCGGAAGAUGUAACGGGGCUAAACCAUGCACCGAAGCUGCGGCAGCGACACUGUGUGUUGUUGGGUAGGGGAGCGU
rnacentral:rRNA from 1 species